GACGAACGCUGGCGGCGUGCUUAAUACAUGCAAGUCGAACGGAAAGGCCCUGCUUUUGUGGGGUGCUCGAGUGGCGAACGGGUGAGUAACACGUGAGUAACCUGCCCUUGACUUUGGGAUAACUUCAGGAAACUGGGGCUAAUACCGGAUAGGAGCUCCUGCUGCAUGGUGGGGGUUGGAAAGUUUCGGCGGUUGGGGAUGGACUCGCGGCUUAUCAGCUUGUUGGUGGGGUAGUGGCUUACCAAGGCUUUGACGGGUAGCCGGCCUGAGAGGGUGACCGGCCACAUUGGGACUGAGAUACGGCCCAGACUCCUACGGGAGGCAGCAGUGGGGAAUAUUGCACAAUGGGCGGAAGCCUGAUGCAGCAACGCCGCGUGCGGGAUGACGGCCUUCGGGUUGUAAACCGCUUUCGCCUGUGACGAAGCGUGAGUGACGGUAAUGGGUAAAGAAACGCCGGCUAACUACGU
rnacentral:rRNA from 1 species